AUGCGGGAGGAGAUGGCGAUGUGCAAGAUCAGAGACGUCAGUGAGCUAUAUGCCCUGGCCGACAAGUGCGCACGUGCUGAGGAAGGGAGGAAACUCCCUGGAGAGAAUACAGAAGCAGGAGGAUCUGAUAGUGAGGAUGCUGCCCCGGCAAAGAAAGGCCGGCGGCGAAACAACAGGAAGAAGAAAGGCAAAGGUGUGCUAGUUGUUGAGCAGUCCGGCAACGGAGGUGGCGCCAAGAAAGCCAAAGCUGGUAGCUCCGGCAAGGAGAUUGCCGCGGGCACCAGCUAUCAGGCUGUGGCGGUCGCCGACAAGCAGGACGGCACCAACAAGCAGUACUGCAAGAUCCACCGCACCAAGGGCCAUGACCUCCAGAGCUGCAAGAAGGUCGAGCAGCUUGUCGAGCAGCAAAAGGCUGAGUACGAGCGACGCGACAAGGAGAAGGCCCAGGAAGGUGCUGGAGGAGCCGGCAAGAAACUCCCCGGCCGAGGAGGACGCCGCGGUAAGGCCAAGCAGCGGAAAGGAGAUAGACCUCCCCGCGGCCGCGACAAGGAUGAAGAGGACGAUGACGAUGAAGAUAUGGAUGACGACGAGGCCGAUGAGUAG
rnacentral:rRNA from 1 species